rnacentral:lncRNA from 10 species
UUUAUCUCUACAAGGAUAGAACAGAUGAGCUAAACUGUACCCAUCAGCGCCCAAGGCCUUGCUCACCUUCUCCAGGCACUAGAACCUGCUGGGCUUGAGAGAGGUAAAGUAGAGAGAUUACAGUUGAUGGACAGAGCAUUAAAAUAUUUUAACAGCCAUCUUAUCUUUCAUUUAGAAAAAAUUAUGACUACUUUCAGUUUGCAUAAACAUAUAGUGAAUACUCUCUAUUAAGUUGUCUACCUGGCUUAUUUUAUUUUUAGAUAUUCUGAAAUAAAGCAGAUUUUACGCAUUGCAAUAGGGGACAAAAACUAUUUUAAAUAAUAUCUUUUUUCAGAAAGUUAACUGCUGCAGUUCUUUGAAAGAAGAUAUUACAAGC